UUAAACUGGGGGGGAUUUUAUCUUAUACUUUUUUUGGUAUAAUACAUGAGAAACAGGGACAGGAACAUAGCAAAUAUAAAUCAGUACAUUCCUUCGGUGAACUUGACACACUGAGACUGAAAAACUGCAUGCAAUGGGGAGACAGAGAGAAGGGAAAUCAAUUUUAUUAAAAAAAAAAAGAAACAAGAUAAUCUAGGUACAACUGUCAACAGAGGAGCAGCACUAUAGAUGGCAAACCUGUAUAAAUUAAAAGAAAUUCCACUCUGACAUCUACUAUGCUUUAAAGUGCAAUGAAGCCUGAUUUAUUUACCUACAGAAUACAUGAAAGUUUCCCCCUCUCCCCAUUCCAAUCUAUCCCUAAAAAAAAAAAACAACAAACCAACAAACAAACCAAUAAAAUAAAUCUAAAGGAUAUACAUUAUCCACAGUCCUAGAGAGACGCCUACAUCUACUCAGUAGCACCAAGAAUCUGAUACGGGUGUAAUUAAAAUCAAUUAAAACUGGGAAGCAUGGUAACUCUGUUAGCUGCUUCUGCAGACCUCCUGCCCUUGAUGAGUGCCUGGGGAGAGGUGGCUCUCCCUGUGCUGGGGUGGUGGCCCAGCGGGUCUGGCAGCAGCACAGCACACACAGCACAGCGAGAGCAGAGCAGGGACACAGGGAGGGGGCCAGGCCCCGGCUGGGUGGGGCUGUCACACACCUGGGUGGGCACCUGGGGGGAGUGGGGCUGACCUACACAGAGGGGAAGGGUUGUGCGAGUCCAACACACGCCUUGAGCAUCUUUGGUGACAGGGUGAAGGGGAGAGGAGGGAGGCAGGGAGGGGAAGGAAGGGGGUCAGCACAGCCCCCCUCUUGUGAGCCUCUGUCUGUGUUGUC